rnacentral:lncRNA from 1 species
UAUCUUCCCAUGAAUCAUUCUGAUGGCACUUCCCCCUUCAGAGGUUACUACUCACCCAGAUGUGAGCUCUUCCUCUCUCCUCUGAGAUCGUCCUGCUUCGCAUUGUCUCCGAGCUUUGCAGCUUUCGGCACAGCCAGCCUUAGAGUCAAGUUCCAUAGAAUGGAGUGAAGAAGUGUACACAAUGCUGCUGAGAUUCUCAGAGAGCUGGGCUCUCCCUGACUUUUACAGCUUGGAAAUUACGAAAAGCCCUUCUAAAUGUAAGUGUUCUUGAGGUGACCUCAGUGUGACCAGUAUUUGGCCUGUGUGUGUGUGUGUGUGUGUGUGUGUGUGUGUGUGUUGAGGAAGGGGUAAGGAAAAGCAGGAGCAAUGGGGGAACAAUGAGGGAUUGCUUUUAAAGCUGGUAGUAGACUAUUUUUCCUCAAAGGAACUUAGUUGUGACCUCUGCUACUAACAAUAUUGUAAAUAAGUACUUUAACAUUUAACAUCGAGAAUAUUUAAGUGCCAGGUUCUGUGCUAAGUGC